UACGUAGGGGGCAAGCGUUGUCCGGAAUCAUUGGGCGUAAAGAGCGUGUAGGCGGCCCGAUAAGUCCGCUGUGAAAGUCCAGGGCUCAACCCUGGGAUGCCGGUGGAUACUGUCGGGCUAGAGUCCGGAAGAGGCAAGUGGAAUUCCCGGUGUAGCGGUGAAAUGCGCAGAUAUCGGGAGGAACACCUAUGGCGAAGGCAGCUUGCUGGGACGGUACUGACGCUGAGACGCGAAAGCGUGGGGAGCAAACAGG
rnacentral:rRNA from 1 species